rnacentral:rRNA from 1 species
GACGAACGCUGGCGGCGUGCUUAGCACAUGCAAGUCGAACGGAAAGGCCCUGCUUUUGUGGUGUGCUCGAGUGGCGAACGGGUGAGUAACACGUGAGUAACCUGCCCUUGACUUUGGGAUAACUUCAGGAAACUGGGGCUAAUACCGGAUAGGAGCUCCUGCUGCAUGGUGGGGGGUGGAAAGUUGCGGCGGUUGGGGAUGAACUCGCGGCUUAUCAGCUUGUUGGUGGGGUAGUGGCUUACCAAGGCUUUGACGGGUAGCCGGCCCGAGAGGGUGACCGGCGUCAAUAGAACUAAGAUACGGACCAGACUCCUACAGGAGGCAACAGUGGGGAAUAUUGCACAAUGGGCGGAAGUCUGAUGCAGAAGCGCCGCGUGCGGGAUGCCGUCCUUCGGGUUGUGAACCGCUUUCGGCUAUGACGAAGCGUGAGUGACGGUAAUGAAAAAAGAAGCACCGGCUAACUACGUG